AUGCAGCCCACCCACUCUGCUCCCCCACCACGGCGGGCUCCAGUCUGAGGUGAGUCAGCUAAAUAAACGUUUUAACAUCUUCUAAAGACAAUUCCCUACCUAAAUGCAAAGUCUGAGAGACGUGGUUCACUUCCUUUAGCUAGUCAGUCGGCAAUUCUGCUACAGUGUCUCUAACUAACGCUGCACUAGUUGACAGACAUCAUUACAGCGUGAAAUCCAGCUUGUGAACAGGUUCUGUGAGGAAUUCUGUUCAGGAGGUCGCAUUUCAGGCUCUCCACAUCAUAUGUGACGGACUUUUACGUUAUAACAACGAUCACACACUAGGAAUGUUAUAAAGCGCCUAUAUAGGAGAUUCUUUUGUAUAUUAUCUGACUUUAUAAACUCCCAACAACAAUGUGCUUCUAUUUUUUUUUCAGGCUAAAUCUACCCAAGACACUGGCUGUCAGACUGAUUUAGCUGCAUGAAUGUACUUUUCCAGGCUGAUGUGAAACCUUCCCUGUAGCAAAGCCAGCCAGAAUGGAGUUCACAGCCGCAGUGUGUCUGGUGACCCACAGGGACCAUGAUGAAAAUUCAUCUUCCAGAAGGUCCCAGAGCGUCCAGACCCCCUGAAAAGACCAAGAUGUGAGGUGUCUGCUGUUGAUUCCAGCUUCCACCUCAGUGACAGUGCAAGCUCAGUGAACUGUUCAAGCCUGGCUGAUCACCUGAUAACCCCUGUCAUCUGGUUAUGACAGCAUGAGGAUGUCCUCACACACCUGUAACCUAUCAGCUCAUCUGGCAGAAUAGAGAGAGAAGAGACAACACCACAUCUCCUGUUCCUGGAAAGCCUUCAGCCAUCCUUCGAUGACUGAGAACCUCCAUCAGCUCUGUC